UACGUAGGGGCCUAGCGUUGUCCGGAUUUAUUGUGCGUAAAGAGCUCGUAGGCGGUUCGGUAAGUCAGGUGUGAAAUCUCCACGCUCAACGUGGAGGCGCCACCUGAAACUGCCGUGACUCGAGUCCGGAAGAGGAGAGUGGAAUUCCUGGUGUAGCGGUGAAAUGCGCAGAUAUCAGGAAGAACACCCGUGGCUAAGGCGGCUCUCUAGUACGGUACUGACGCUGAGACGCGAAAGCGUGGGGAGCGAACAGG
rnacentral:rRNA from 1 species